CCUACGGGAGGCAGCAGUGAGGAAUAUUGGUCAAUGGUCGGGAGACUGAACCAGCCAAGCCGCGUGAGGGAUGAAGGUACAGAGUAUCGUAAACCUCUUUUGUCAGGGAACAAAGGCGGGGACGCGUCCCCGGAUGAGUGUACCUGAAGAAUAAGCAUCGGCUAACUCCGUGCCAGCAGCCGCGGUAAUACGGAGGAUUCGAGCGUUAUCCGGUUUUAUUGGGUUUAAGGGGUGCGUAGGCGGUCUGUUAAGUUCGCGGUAAAAGCCCGGGGCUCAACCCCGGCCCGCCGUUGAAACUGGCAGUCUCGAGUUGGAGAGAAGUAGGCGGAAUGCACGGUGUAGCGGUGAAAUGCAUAGAUAUCGCGCAGAACUCCGAUUGCGAAGGCAGCAUGCCGGCUCCAAACUGACGCUGAGGCACGAAAGCGUGGGUAUCGAACAGGAUUAGAUACCCGUGUAGUC
rnacentral:rRNA from 1 species